rnacentral:lncRNA from 1 species
ACUUUCCUUCAUUUUUUCUCCCCAUUUUUCCUCCACUUUCUUCCCAAUUUUCCCAUUUUUUUCCUCAUUUCUCUCCCCAAUUUUCCCUCAUUUUUACCCCAAUUUCUCUUCAAUUUUCCAACCGCUUUUUCCCUCAUUUUUUCUUUAUUUUCCUGUUAUUUUUCCCAUUUUCUUCCCUUUUUCCUACAAUAUUUCCCCAUUAUUUUUCCUCAACCUCUCCCUGAUUUUCCUACAAGUUUUCCCCAUUUUCUCCCCAUUAUCUCCCAUAUUUUUUCCUCAUUUUCCCUCAUUUUUACCCCAAUUUUCCCACUUUCUUCUCUCUUUUUUCCCCCAAUUUUUUCCCCAAUUUUUCUCCCGAUUCCUUCCCAUUUCUCCCCCAUCCCUUGUGCCCAUUUUGGGUUCAAUUCCUGCAUUUUUGGCUCACUCACCCCAUGGCAGAUUUCUCCCCAUUUUCUCUCUAAUUUUCCUCCAUUUGCUCCCCAUUUUAUAUUAUUUUUCCCCCAUUUUUUCCUAAAUUUUCCCCUACUUCUUCCCUGAUUUUUCCUUCUAUUUUUCCCCAUUUUCUCCCCAACUUUUCCUCAUUUUUCUACAAUUUUUCCUCCACCUUUCCCCCAUUUUUCCUGAUUUUUUCUCCCCAUUUUUUCUCCCAUUUCUUGCCCAUUUCUCCCCAUUUCCUUCCCCAUUUUUUCCCACAUUUCUCUUCCAUUUCCCCCAUUUUUUCUCAAUUUCUCUCCCCAUUUUUUCCUCAUUCUCCUCCCACUUUUCCCUCAUAUUCCUACCCUUUUUUCCAUUUCCUUCCCAAUUUUCCUCACGUUUUCUCCCCAAUUUUCCCUCAUUUUCCUACAUUUUUUCCUCCACCUCUCCCCCAUUUUUCCUGAUUUUUUCCUGAUUUUUUCCUCCACUUUUCUCCCCAUUUUUUCUCCAAUUUCUUCCCCAUUUUUUCCCACAUUUCUCCUCCAUUUUUCCCCAAUUUUUCUCCCCCAUUUUCUCCUCUAUUUUCUUUCACAUUUUCCCUCUGAUUUUCCUCCAUUUUCUCCCCGAUUUUCCUCAUUUUUACCCCAAUUUUCGCAGUUUCUUCUCUCUUUUUUUCCCCAAUUUUUUCCCCAAAUUUUCCCCCACUCUCCACUUUCCUCACGUUUUCUCCCCAAUUUUCUCUCAAUUUCUCCCACAUUUUCUCCUCGUUUCUCUCCCCAAUUUUCCCCAAUUUUCACACUUCCUUCUCUCUUUUUCUCCCCAAUUUUCGCCCCAUCCUCUCCCUAUUCCCUCCCCAUCUCGGCAC